AAACUGCAAUGCAUAAAAACAAAAACUGCAAUGUAGAAAAACAAAACAUGCGAUAAAUUGCAUACUACCAUGAAAGUGUAUAUUAUGUGUAAAAUGAUAAGCUAAUUGUCAAGUUAGAGUGCGCUUAGCCCUUUCUUGGGGGUUGGUGUUUUUCAUGUAUAUGCAGCUCACAAAGUUUGUUAUUUUGUGAACUUGUGUGUUUAUAUUUAUUUUUCACCUUUUCUUUUAUUAUUCUUUAUAGAAAUUUGGUCAAACUGCUUUUAGCCAUUAAGCCAUAUUAUGGUUCAUGUGAGGUUUUUGAAAUGCAGAAAUAGAAACUGCAUUGUAGAAAACAGAAACUGCAAUGCAAAAAAACAAAAACUACAAUGUAGAAAAAUAGAACAUGAGAUAAAUUGCAUACCUCUAGCUGAUUUAAGUAACUGAUUUGCUUGAAUCUUGUGUGGAGUUCAUAUUUUUAUUUAUUGAUUUGAUUUGUUUAGGUUGUUUGUUCAUAGGUUUUGUCAUGUAGUUUUUGGACUUACUUUCUACAUGAAAAGCAUAGCACCUUGGGAGGGUGAAUAAAGGACAACAGAGUUGGUUCCCGGCUGGCCUGUAAUAGGCGGGAACGGGCUGGCGGG